rnacentral:rRNA from 1 species
UACGAGGGGGGCAAGCGUUGUUCGGAUUUAUUGGGCGUAAAGGGUGCGUAGGCGGUUUGGCAAGUCUGAUGUGAAAUUUAUGGGCUCAACCCAUAGUCUGCAUCAGAAACUGCCGGGCUUGAGUAUGGGAGAGGUGAGUGGAAUUUCCGGUGUAGCGGUGAAAUGCGUAGAUAUCGGAAGGAACACCUGUGGCGAAGGCGGUCUGCUGGGCAGUAGCUGACACUGAGGCGCGACAGCGUGGGGAGCAAACAGG